GAGGUGGUAGUUCAGUGGUUAAGACAUUGGCCUUCUGAUCGGGAGGUUAAGUGUUCAAAUCCCGAGCACCACC